GUCUACGGUCAUGCCACCCUGAAUGUGCCCGAUCUCCUCUGAUCUUGGAAGCUAAGCAGGGUCAGGCCUGGUUAGUACUUGGAUGGGAGACCACCUAGGAAUACCAGGUGCUUUAGGCA
rnacentral:rRNA from 1 species